AGCGAACGCUGGCGGCAGGCCUAACACAUGCAAGUCGAACGAACUCUUCGGAGUUAGUGGCGGACGGGUGAGUAACACGUGGGAACGUGCCUUUUGGUUCGGAAUAACUCAGGGAAACUUGUGCUAAUACCGAAUGUGCCCUUCGGGGGAAAGAUUUAUCGCCAUUAGAGCGGCCCGCGUCUGAUUAGCUAGUUGGUGAGGUAACGGCUCACCAAGGCGACGAUCAGUAGCUGGUCUGAGAGGAUGACCAGCCACACCGGGACUGAGACACGGCCCAGACUCCUACGGGAGGCAGCAGUGGGGAAUCUUGCGCAAUGGGCGAAAGCCUGACGCAGCCAUGCCGCGUGAAUGAUGAAGGUCUUAGGAUUGUAAAAUUCUUUCACCGGGGACGAUAAUGACGGUACCCGGAGAAGAAGCCCCGGCUAACUUCGUG
rnacentral:rRNA from 1 species